GAGGCCAUUACGGCUUGCCUUUAGAUGUCUUCCUCGGGAUAGCGUCAUUUAAAGAACGACGGUCAGCACGACAUUAAAAAAAAACCGAAAAAAAAACCGAAGGAGCCUACCGAAUAUGAGGCCAUUAUGACUCGCCUUUAGGUGUCCUCCUCGUGAUAGCGUCAUUUAAAGAACGAGGGUCAGCACGAUGUAAAAAAAAACAGAAAAAAAAAUCGGAGGAGCCUACCGAAUAUGAGGCCAUUAUGACUCGCCUUUAGGUUUCCUCCUUAGGAUAGCAUCAUGGAAAGAACGAGGGUAUGCACGAC